rnacentral:rRNA from 1 species
UAGGGAAUCUUCGGCAAUGGACGAAAGUCUGACCGAGCAACGCCGCGUGAGUGAAGAAGGUUUUCGGAUCGUAAAACUCUGUUGUUAGAGAAGAACAAGGACGUUAGUAACUGAACGUCCCCUGACGGUAUCUAACCAGAAAGCCACGGCUAACUACGUGCCAGCAGCCGCGGGAAUACGUAGGUGGCAAGCGUUGUCCGGAUUUAUUGGGCGUAAAGCGAGCGCAGGCGGUUUCUUAAGUCUGAUGUGAAAGCCCCCGGCUCAACCGGGGAGGGUCAUUGGAAACUGGGAGACUUGAGUGCAGAAGAGGAGAGUGGAAUUCCAUGUGUAGCGGUGAAAUGCGUAGUUAUAUGGAGGAACACCAGUGGCGAAGGCGGCUCUCUGGUCUGUAACUGACGCUGAGGCUCGAAAGCGUGGGGAGCAAACAGG